GCUGGAAAUGGUGGUGCAUGCCUGUAAUCCCAGCAACUUGAGAGGCUGAGGCAGGAGGAUCACACAUUUGAGGCCAGCCUCAGUAACUCAGUGAGGUCCUAAGCUACUUAGUGAGACCUUGUCUCAA
rnacentral:sRNA from 1 species